rnacentral:lncRNA from 1 species
ACUUUUCCCAUGAGAAUGAAAACAACUUUUUUCUGUUUUCUACAAGUACACAUGAACUUGUUUUUAUUUUAUGAAAACAUUCUCAUUGUUUUCUGUUUUCGGGCCACCAAAUGUAUUUUGCCUAAUUUUUGUUCUCGGAAAAUGAAAACAACUCCUUAAAACGUUACUGAACGGGACCUCAUCUUUCCACCCACCAUUAUUUCUAAAAUACCAUUUAAUUAUUAAUUCAAGCAAACUCUCUCCCCUCUUUCUUUUUCAUUUUUUCAUUUUCUUCCCUUUACUUCUCUCUUUUCUGUCUGUUUCCCUUUUUUUUUUUUCCUUGCGUUUAUCCCUCUCUUCUCUCUAUGUUUCUUCUUCUUACUCUGCGCCAUUUUUGGCUAUAACCACACUACAUGCAAAAAAUUUGGAUUUUACCCAUAUCUAUGUCCCUCACUGCUGAACUUUUCUGGGUCCACCACUGACCCCCGCCACCAAUUUGAUAUUCCCACCCCGACCCACGCGCCUCCUCCUCUGGCGAAACCAAAAUAGAAGAUGAUGACCAUGUCAUCUAUUUAUUUUUUUGGGUACAGAAAUUCAAAGAAAUUGCAGGCGGGGGGUGCGGCUAGAAUUGAGACAUAAGAUUGGGGAUGGAGUUAAUGGGAGUGCUGAGAAAUUGCAGGGAGGGUGGGGCUACAAUUGAGACAUAAGAUUGGGGGUGGAGUUAAUGGGAAUGCUGAGAAAUUGCAGGGUGGAGUUAAUGGGAGUGCUGAGAAAUUGCAAGGUGGAGAAGGAUGGAAAGAACGGGCAGCGUGGAUUUUGAACAAAAGAAAAAAAAGAAAGAAAAGAAUAUGGGUGUGUGUGAGAGAGUUGUAAAUUUGUCUUUAGAAGUUAUUUUAUAAAAAGGUAAUUUUUGCUAGUUUCCUUUAUAUUCCAAAAGACGUUAUCAUG